rnacentral:rRNA from 1 species
GCCUGAAAACUACAAGCGUAAGCUCAAAACUCAAAGGGUCUGGCGGCACUUUAAACUAUCUAGAGGAGCCUGUCCUAUAAUCGAUAAUCCCCGUUAAACCUCACCUUCUUUAGCAAUCAGCCUGUAUACCGCCGUCGUCAGCUUACCCCCUAAAGGUUACACAAGUAAGCAAAACUGGUUUUACCCAAAACGUCAGGUCGAGGUGCAGCUUACAAGAAGGGAAGAGAUGGGCUACAUUUCCUAGGAAAUACGAAUAGUACACUGAAAUGUGUACAUUGAAGGAGGAUUUAGCAGUAAGUAAAAAAUAGAGUGUUUUACUGAAAAAGGUCUUAAAGUGCGUAC